AACUAUCAAGCUACAAAUGUUUUUGUUAGCAUUUGUUGGUUUGGAUGUUGGAUGCUUUGCUGGACAAUAUUGAACAGCUCAUCCGAAAUUUAUUAGCUGGUCUAAAUACCUUGGACUAUCCACUUGGCGUGAUAAGUAUCACCCGCUGAGGACUUGUUCAAUGGGGGUUGACUGCUUCUAAUUUAUUAUUUUGAAUC
rnacentral:misc_RNA from 1 species